AUUGAACGCUGGCGGCAGGCCUAAUACAUGCAAGUCGAACGGGUGGAGGAGGGGUGAGUGAUGUCUGGGAAAGUGCCUAAUGGAGGGGAAUAACUGCUGGAAAAGGUAGAUAAUAGUGCAUACGACCGUAUGGGCCCAGAUGGGAUUAGCUAGUAGGUGGGGUAAAGGCGCACCUAGGCGACGAUCCCUAGCUGGUCUGAGAGGAUGACCAGCCACACUGGAACUGAGACACGGUCCAGACUCCUACGGGAGGCAGCAGUGGGGAAUAUUGCACAAUGGGCGCAAGCCUGAUGCAGCCAUGCCGCGUGUAUGAAGAAGGCCUUCGGGUUGUAAAGUACUUUCAGCUGGGAGGCGUUACCCGCAGAAGAAGCACCGGCUAACUCCGUGCCAGCAGCCGCGGUAAUUC
rnacentral:rRNA from 1 species